AGAGUUUGAUCCUGGCUCAGAUUGAACGCUGGCGGCAUGCCUUACACAUGCAAGUCGAACGGCAGCACGGGAGCAAUCCUGGUGGCGAGUGGCGAACGGGUGAGUAAUACAUCGGAACGUGCCCAGUUGUGGGGGAUAGCCCGGCGAAAGCCGGAUUAAUACCGCAUACGACCUACGGGUGAAAGCGGGGGAUCGCAAGACCUCGCGCAAUUGGAGCGGCCGAUGGCAGAUAGCUUGUUGGUGGGGUAAAAGCCUACCAAGGCGACGAUCUGUAGCUGGUCUGAGAGGACGACCAGCCACACUGGGACUGAGACACGGCCCAGACUCCUACGGGAGGCAGCAGUGGGGAAUUUUGGACAAUGGGCGCAAGCCUGAUCCAGCCAUGCCGCGUGUGGGAAGAAGGCCUUCGGGUUGUAAACCACUUUUGUCAGGGAAGAAACGGUCUGAUCUAAUAAAUCGGACUAAUGACGGUACCUGAAGAAUAAGCACCGGCUAACUACGUGCCAGCAGCCGCGGUAAUACGUAGGGUGCAAGCGUUAAUCGGAAUUACUGGGCGUAAAGCGUGCGCAGGCGGCUAUGCAAGACAGAUGUGAAAUCCCCGGGCUCAACCUGGGAACUGCAUUUGUGACUGCAUGGCUAGAGUACGGCAGAGGGGGAUGGAAUUCCGCGUGUAGCAGUGAAAUGCGUAGAUAUGCGGAGGAACACCGAUGGCGAAGGCAAUCCCCUGGGCCUGUACUGACGCUCAUGCACGAAAGCGUGGGGAGCAAACAGGAUUAGAUACCCUGGUAGUCCACGCCCUAAACGAUGUCAACUGGUUGUUGGACGGCUUGCUGUUCAGUAACGAAGCUAACGCGUGAAGUUGACCGCCUGGGGAGUACGGCCGCAAGGUUAAAACUCAAAGGAAUUGACGGGGACCCGCACAAGCGGUGGAUGAUGUGGUUUAAUUCGAUGCAACGCGAAAAACCUUACCUACCCUUGACAUGUCUAGAAGUUUCCAGAGAUGGAUUCGUGCUCGAAAGAGAACUAGAACACAGGUGCUGCAUGGCCGUCGUCAGCUCGUGUCGUGAGAUGUUGGGUUAAGUCCCGCAACGAGCGCAACCCUUAUCAUUAGUUGCUACGCAAGGGCACUCUAAUGAGACUGCCGGUGACAAACCGGAGGAAGGUGGGGAUGACGUCAGGUCAUCAUGGCCCUUAUGGGUAGGGCUACACACGUCAUACAAUGGCCGGUACAGAGGGCUGCCAACUCGCGAGAGGGAGCUAAUCUCAGAAAACCGGUCGUAGUCCGGAUCGCAGUCUGCAACUCGACUGCGUGAAGUCGGAAUCGCUAGUAAUCGCGGAUCAGCUUGCCGCGGUGAAUACGUUCCCGGGUCUUGUACACACCGCCCGUCAC
rnacentral:rRNA from 1 species